rnacentral:misc_RNA from 1 species
CGAUCUUCUGGGAGUCUUCUAUUCAUCAGUUAUUAGGGUUUUCUACUCUAUCCAUGCCUUCUCAACGUUGAUCAACUUUUUCACUGAAUUGGCCAAAAGCGAGACAGGUUUGAAGUGGGUUGCUAGUUUUUAUAUCAGGGGAAAAAAGGGCCAAUAAUCAGAAAUGGCAGGACUGAAUAAUCCUAAGCAUCUUGAGGACUGCUCGGUUGCCAACGCAUUAGGCACAUGGUUCUUCUCAGUGGCAGGGGCUUUGGUAGCUAUCCCAGUAGGGAUAAAACGGAAGUCUUUAGCACCGCUUGUGUUCUUUGGCACAACAGGCACAAUGCUUGAUAUUAUCAUGGGAAUCAGUCAAUGUGAAAGAGAACAUGCAGAACGCCAAGCCAAGUUACUAGAGGCCCAGAAUUCUGUAGGGGAAUCAUCUUUUUCAGAAACAGGAUCUGAGUCUUGAUUCUAAGCUGGUAUAGGCAUGAGCUUAUGCUACUUGGCAUAAGAGAAAGAUCUGUUUCUUUGGUGGGAAUUCAGUGUGCACUUUUUUGCACUAUUAAUCAUCUCUCAAAAGUUAUUUUAUUUUAUUUUAUUUCUAUUUAACUUCAUAAGAUCAGCAAAAGACCUAUCAUGAUGCAAUAAAAACAUGGGUUUUGCUUAGAAGUUGCAUCCUUGAUUUGUUUUCUUAAAAAUAGUCGAUUUAUGGGGGCUGAAAACGUGUUCAAAUGCCUUAGAAGAAGCAGGGAUAAUUCUCAUUUGUUGUUGUUUCUGUGUUUCUUUCGAAGCCAAUGCUAAUAUUCAACUGUAACCUGGACUACACUUUCAGGAUUUGUAUUUUUCAUUUACAAGCACAACAAAUAUUGAUAUCCUGCUUCUUCUAAGGCAUUUGAACACGUU